UUGGAAAGUUAAAAAAUCAAUCUGGUUGGACAUUCGUGUAAAGAUCCUAGGAAAGAAGUCAUAAAUUAUGCAAAGGAGAACUUCUUAGACAAACCGAAAAAUGGAUUGUUUUGGUAUCGAUAAAGAUAUUACUAAAAAUCAUCUGAGUGAAAUUUAAAUUCAGACUUGACUUUACACAUAUGACCAUAAGACUUGACUUUACACAUAUGACCAUAAUUGAUUGGAAUUUAAGGUAACAUGAUAUCCCUUUCGAUAUUUUUGAAAAAGUUUGCAGUCCUUUGCUGCUUGGCAGCAAUUCAUACAUGACGGGUAGCAAUCUUCUUAUCUCCCGAAGGUGGGCAAGUCAUGUACGACACACCACCCAUACAAUAAAAUGGACAAAUCUUGGCUUCUGCGGUUUCAACAUAAUUUCUUUCCAGUUCGAAAACUGCUUCAAAGACAAUAAACAGUAAGAUAACAAUGUAACUUACACAAAUUUAAACAGUAAAAAAACAGUCUGAUGCACUAAGCUUUUGUUAUGUGUAGGAUCCGAGUUAGGUCAGAUCACAAGGGUUUACUGUACGCAGCCUUGCCCACUUGCCCCUUUUUACUACUUUGACUAGCGCCCGGCAAAGGAAUAAUUUUUUCCCAAAGCCGACACAUGUGACCUCCCGUUUACAUGGCAACAACUUUAGCAGUUACGUCAAGGCUCCCCUCCGUACGCAAACAGUAAGGAAUUGAUACAAAAAUUUUCAUUAUUAAAAAGGAAGAUCAGUAGUAGGUGAAAGGCGUAUACCAGACAGCAGGAAGAGGAAAGUGAGAACAACGACACUGCUAUUAGCCAUGCUUGUUUAGUAC
rnacentral:lncRNA from 1 species